AACCUAAAACCAGGAGCUCUUCAAAAUACCAAUCUAUUUCCAGCUACUGCCCUAGAAAUUUAAACGUAUGAGAAAAAUUCUGUACCAUGAGCAUGAGAGGCUGGAAGAGACCAUGUGCGAAACACAAAAAGAAGAUGAAUUUCAAAGAGGGCCCAUGGUCUCUCGGAAUUAGCCCAGGGAGACCUUGAGCAAAGAAUCCAGCCAUGGCCCGCUGGGCUUCAGGCCUAAUUAUGAAACUGUAAAUAUAAAUCCAUAUUUUCUAAUGCUGCCGCAUAUUUUCUGAGGCUUUAGAAAACUAACAGAAUAGUAUUAAUCAAUCAUCUUUGAUCUUCUACAAGUGAAGUACAGUAUUCUCAGGAUCCUAGACAGUGGCAGUGAGCUGUAGCUCCCCAUCAACCACAGGAAGACGAAGGCAAAUAGCCGUUGCUGUCUGUGUGUAGUGCUGAACUUCGAUAUUUGGAACACUCCAAUGAGCAAGAUGGCUGCUUUAUUAACUGAUUAUUACAAACUUUACUGGAAUUUAAUGUGAGGAUCUACUUCACUGAAAGAGAUCACUGGAGUACAAAAUUUUGUUUAUCAGCUUCCACAAACAGGAAGAUUGGAGUGAAUGAUGAGGAAUAAAUCCACAGUACCCCCUUGAGCCUCACUUGGGGAAAAGAACUUCUCUUCCCUGUGCAAUUUAUUACAUCCAGUGUCACUGUUCACCUUCUCUCUCCCAGCACAGUGAUGGGUCCAUAAUGGAUGUGGCCAACUACAAGAUCUGAUCACCCUCUUUAUUCUUACUGUAGUUCCAGAUAUACAAAUCACUCUCCAGGAGUUUUCUCACAAACUUGUGAAGGAUGCCACAAAAUGGCCAUGUUAUUACUAAAUUGCUGGUAUAGAUGACUGACAGACUCUUAGUAGUCAUUGGAUGUCCAUGUGAGAGGAUUAAUUCAAAGAGAAAUAAAGAGGUUAAGACCA